rnacentral:rRNA from 1 species
UAAGACCUCGCGUUAUUGGAGCGGCCGAUAUCUGAUUAGCUAGUUGGUGGGGUAAAAGCCUACCAAGGCGACGAUCAGUAGCUGGUCUGAGAGGACGACCAGCCACACUGGGACUGAGACACGGCCCAGACUCCUACGGGAGGCAGCAGUGGGGAAUUUUGGGCAAUGGGCGAAAGCCUGAUCCAGCCAUGCCGCGUGAGUGAAGAAGGCCUUCGGGUUGUAAAGCUCUUUCGCAAGGAAAGAAAUCCUAUCCACUAAUACUGGGUGGGGAUGACGGUACCUUGAUAAGAAGCACCGGCUAACUACGUGCCAGCAGCCGCGGUAAUACGUAGGGUGCGAGCGUUAAUCGGAAUUACUGGGCGUAAAGCGAGCGCAGGCGGUUUUGUAAGUCAGAUGUGAAAUCCCCGGGCUCAACCUGGGAACU